UUUUUCAUCUCAUUUCAUCUCAAUUCAUCUCAUCAUUUCAUCUCCUCAUCUCAUCAUUUCCUCCUUUCAUUACAACAUUUCAUCUCAUUUCUUCUCAUCUCAUUUCAAUUUCAUUAUUUCAUCUCAUUUCAUUAUUUCACCUAAUUUCAUUAUUUCAUCUCAUCUCAUCUCAGUUCAUCUGAUCUCAUUUCAUCUCAUUUCAUUAUUUCACCUAAUUUCAUUAUUUCAUCUCAUCUCAUCUCAGUUCAUCUGAU
rnacentral:lncRNA from 1 species